AGAGUUUGAUCCUGGCUCAGGACGAACGCUGGCGGCGUGCUUAACACAUGCAAGUCGGACGGUUUGCGCUGGAAGGUUCGCUGGAAGGCGCAGAUAGUGGCGGACGGGUGAGUAACGCGUGAGGACAUGUCUGCAGGAGGGGGAUAACGUUUGGAAACGGACGCUAAGACCCCGUAAGCCGGGAGGUAAAAGUGGCGAAAGCCAGCCUGUGGAGUGACUCGCGUCCUAUCAGCUAGUUGGCGGGGUGAAGGCCCACCAAGGCGAUGACGGGUAGCCGACCUGAGAGGGUGGCCGGCCACACUGGAACUGAGAUACGGUCCAGACUCCUACGGGAGGCAGCAGUGGGGAAUAUUGGGCAAUGGGCGGAAGCCUGACCCAGCGACGCCGCGUGGGGGAAGAAGUCUUUCGGGAUGUAAACCCUUGUCGUACGGGACGAAGGAAGUGACGGCACCGUACGAGGAAGCCCCGGCAAACUACGUGCCAGCAGCCGCGGUAAUAC
rnacentral:rRNA from 1 species